GGCGCGUGCUACACAUGCAGUCGACGGGGUUUAAGAGGAAGCUCGUGAAUCUUAGGCCUAGUGGCGCACGGGUGAGUAACGCCGUGGAUAACCUGCCUGGUAGGCCGGGAUAACGGCUGGAAACGGCUGCUAAUACCGGAUACGCUCUGCUGAGCGCGUGUUUGGGAGAGGAAAGAAGUAUCGCUAUCAUAUGAGUCCGCGUCCCAUUAGCUGGUUGGUGGUGUAAGAGACCACCAAGGCGACGAUGGGUAGCCGGCCUGAGAGGGCGACCGGCCGCACUGGGACUGAUGACUCGGCCCAGACUCCUACGGGAGGCAUCACUGGGGAAUCUUCCGCAAUGGGCGAACGCCGGACGGAGGAGCGCGACGAGAGGGAAGAAUGCCUUCGGGUUGUAAACCUGUGUCUUCAAGGAAGAUGUGAUGACCGUACUUGGAGAGGAGGCCCGGCUGUUACGGGCCGCGCUCCGCGGUAGAACGUACGGGGCGAGCGUUGACCGGAAUUGCUGGGCGUAAAGGGCGCGUAGGUGGUACAUUAAGUCGGAGGUGAAAGAUCGUGGCUCAACCGCGAGAUUACGACUGAUAGUGGUGGACUUGAUUGCCGGAUAGGGUAGCGGAAUUCCCAGUGUACCGGUGAUAGGCCUAGAUCUUGUCAGGAACACCGAUGGCCAAUGCUGCUCUCUGGAUCGUCACUGACACUGAUGCUCGAAUUCGUGAGGAGCAUACAGGAGUCGAUACCUUGGUCAUCCACGCCUCAUACGAUGAGUGCUGGAUGUUGGAGGUAUCUACCCCUGCUGUGUCGUAGUUCACACACUACGCACUGCUCCUGGCGAGUACGAUGGCCACACUGACACUCGGUGGUAUUGCCGGGAGCUCCCACAUUCACUGGUACAUGUGGUAUACUUCUACCCAUCGCGGAAAUCCUUACCACGGCUUGACAUCGUCUGAUCGUGCUUGAGCUCGGAUUUCUUCCUUUGAGAUGACGUACAACUAGUCGUGCAUGACUCUCGUCAGUUCGUGACAACGCA
rnacentral:rRNA from 1 species